rnacentral:rRNA from 1 species
GAUGAACGCUGGCGGCGUGCCUAAUACAUGCAAGUCGAACGAGGUGCUUGAGUAGCAAUACGAGAGUAUCCUAGUGGCGAACGGGUGAGUAACGCGUUGGUGACCUACCCCAAGUAGUGGGAUAACAUUCCGAAGGAUUGCUAAUACCGCAUGUGGUCUUCGGGUUUAGAAACCGAUGACGAAAGACAGUAAUGCGCUUUGGG